rnacentral:rRNA from 1 species
GUACACCGUGAAGUCACCUCUUCUACUGCGGUGGGCGACGCCAGCAUUUCCAGGCCUGAGGCGGUGGCGAGUCAGCUCUUAUAACAGGCUAAACAUGUUUCUUCUUCUUCUCCUCAAGGAGGCGUAAUUCCACGCCCUACCUAAAAGAUACAUGUUGGGGGUUCGAUCCUUGAUUUUUUCCGGCACUUUCUCAAGUUGUCGGGUAGAGACGUCGGUCUCAUAGGACCGGCCCGAGAGCCGGGGCCUGAACUUCUUCUAGGCCUAUAUAGACACCUCGAGCAGCUGCUCUGUAAGAUGGUUCGUUCGACACUGCCGUGGAACCACCGGUAGUAGUGCCUAAUAGGGCCCGACGAGGGACACAGCUUAUUUGCCGGUAGUCUUGUGGCGUGACUCGGGCUCCCCCGAGUAGUCGUCUCCCGUGGGCCCGGCCCGUCCGAAUUCUCCUUCCGCCAAUCCUAACUCUACGGCCGCGUUUCUUUCUCAUCAGCGGCCUGAUAUAGGCCUCUGGGACGGCCGGUGUGGAGUCGGUCGGCCUAAGGUCUUGGCCUGAGUGCCCACCUUCGACUACACCCCUGUUGUGGCUUAACAGGAGGAUGUCUCCUACGCCUGUCCAAGAGGCGAUACUUAAGGCUGCGGCUGCCCGGUAUGAGACGUAGCCAUAAAAAAAGUUUCUCCGCAAGUUACGGAAGUUGAGUCCUCUGCGUAUGUAGGCGUGACGAGUUCUACCUGAACGGUCUCGCUACCUGGUCAUACGUUUGCUAUAUGCCCAAGAACAUAUCUUCUUAUGGGUAAAUAGAGUUCUCGACCUCCUUACGUUCUGGGUCGAUUUCCGGCGUCAACGGUUUGAUCUCCUUAGGGUUUUCCGGAGGAGACAGUUAGGGCCUCUCUUAGGUUUCUAGCAUUUUCUAUUACACAGUGUAGAUUCUUCAGUCGAUUUCCGCCCUCUCGCACACGAAUGCGUCCAAUAAGUUCUCUUUUUGUUAGAGGUUCUACGGUUGUAGGCCGACUCGCAGCUUAAUCGUCUACAAGCUCGAAUCGAGCGACUGAGGUACUUCCUCUUGUCCUCCGAAGCCGCGCCGUAAAUAUCAUACGAGUGUCCGGCAGGACUUCUCCUCUACGGGCCUAGGUGUCCACUAAACGACGUUCUAGAGAGUGUUGAAGUGCUUGCUCGAGCUGUCCACUACGUCCCAUAACGGGUCCGGAACACGGGUAGGCGAAGUGACGGUCCUCCGUACCCCCUCGAACACCUAUACGAGUUUCCUCGUGCCGCCGCGAAGGCCAAUACCUUCCAUAGUCGGACGGUUGUUCCACGUUCCCUUCGGACCCGGUACCACUUCCGCGUUAUGCGGUUCCGACUGGGUUUGGUAUACCGGCUUCGACCUGGCCACCCCGGUCUACCCUUUCUCUAAGGGCAUUCAGACCACAUACUGGUUCAUCGUAAUCGGAGUUACAUAAGGGUUGUCCUAACAUCCUAUCUGUCGGACAACCUACCAUAUCUUCUUCUUAAAUCGGUCAGGUUCUCUGAUACAUGAAAUUACCUGCAUACAUCAGGGAUC